rnacentral:rRNA from 1 species
UCAGACGAUGCGUCAUGCAUAUCAAUAAGCGGAGGAAAAGAAACUAACAAGGAUUCCCUCAGUAACGGCGAGUGAAGCGGGAAGAGCUCAAAUUUGAAAUCUUGAAAGGUCACCUUUCACGAAUUGUAGUUUAAAGAAGUGUUUUCUGUUACGAUCGUAAUAUAAGUUCUUUGGAAUAGGACAUCACAGAGGGUGAGAAUCCCGUCUAUGAUUGCGAUUUGUAGCUUUGUGAUACACUUUCAAAGAGUCGGGUUGUUUGGGAAUGCAGCCCAAAACGGGAGGUAAAUUUCUUCUAAGGCUAAAUAUUGGCGAGAGACCGAUAGCGAACAAGUACCGUGAGGGAAAGAUGAAAAGAACUUUGAAAAGAGAGUUAAAUAGUACGUGAAAUUGUCAAAAGGGAAGCGUUUAACACCAGUGUUGUUUUCUGAAAAUCAACCUCUGUUAGCUUUAUGCAUGUUUGUUUAGACCUAAUCAGCUAUCUUGCAUUGUUCUAUUGUUUGCAGUGGUGCACUUUUCAGUUUACAGGUCAACAUCAGUUUUUUUUACCGUAAAAAAGUUAAAGAAAGGUAGCUCAUGGCUCCGGUCGUGAGUGUUAUAGUCUUUUUCCUACGCGGUAGGAGAGACUGAGGUCUGCAGUGUAGGCUAUUUGGCUAGAUACUCAGGUGCUAUGUGAUACCAUUUCAUAAACAACUUGUUGAUUAUGUUUUGUCUAUUGCAUACUCGCUUGUACUAUCAUACCUACGCUUAGGAUGUUGAAGACUCUACAGAGAUA